GCCCUUCGCCUCGCAGAUUUUACCGCCAGUGAUGUAGGCUCCUUGUGCGUCCUAAUUGGAAGAAGCCACGCUCCCGAGUAUUAGGAAGGGACGGAGAGUCUUAUUUGCGUUCCCAUUGUUUGUGGGUCACCUAAGGAGACCCUGGAGCCGGGAACUCUUGCUUGGUUAGUGUUAGCUUUGCGCCUCUGGGAGGAAACGCAGACUUUAAGCUUAAAAAAAAAAAAAAUUUAGUCCCCCUCCAUAGUAAAUGCAUUUGAAAGCUCCAAUUGUAAUGGAGUGGCGAUUUCUCUUGACCUGUUAUUUUGAGACAAGAUUUCUUUAGUUCAUGAUAGACUGGACGUAUAGUGAAGUCUCCAAGCUUCCUGGAAGUAAGGAUUGCAGGGGAGAGGUGCCACGUCUUCUCAUUUUGUUCCAGCCCAACAUGGCCUACAGAGUGAGAUCCUGUCUCAAAAAACAAAACAAAACAAAAAAACAAGAGAAGGCUGAAUAAAUGGCUCAGCACCUGCUGCUCUUCCAGAAGACCCAGUCACAGGACAUCUACGCUUCUUACAAUUUCCUCAUAUGAAAUGCAUCACGAUCCUCUCAGUGAAGGAAAAUGUCAGGCUUCCUCAUCAGCCCCAGCCUCUAGACGUCUUGCCCAAUCUCUGCAAUUGGUCUGCUCUCCACCAGCAUUCCUCUUUAACAUUUUUUAUCAGUCCGGCAUAUGAGAUUUUAAUGGCUCUGUUGCAGCUUUCUCUUCUUCAGUCAGUAGAGUUAGCUAGAAAAACAAAUAACAAAAUGUUUAUUUCAAAACCUUCAAAGGUUGUUAAACGAGUUAAAUUUUGCUUCAUUGCACAAACUUUUUCAUAAUCUUAUACUACAUAUUUAGUCUUGAAAUUUGAAAGGCAAGGGAAAACAAUAGCCAUCUGGCUAUUUAUAUACUGUAGUUGGGCUUUCAAAGAACUUGCAAUUAGGCUGUACAAACAAGAUCAAGAAAUCAAACAAAGGACUAUCAUUUAACAGAACUAAAUGUAUGUUUGAAUACCAUAUUUGGAAAAGAGAUUUAGACCAAAACAGUAGGAAUUUUACCCAGAGAAAUAACUGUGUGCUGAAUUUUGAAGACCCCCAUCUCAAAAAAAAA
rnacentral:lncRNA from 1 species